UGGGGAAUAUUGCACAAUGGGCGCAAGCCUGAUGCAGCCAUGCCGCGUGUGUGAAGAAGGCCUUCGGGUUGUAAAGCACUUUCAGCGAGGAGGAAGGUGGUGGACUUAAUACGUUCAUCAAUUGACGUUACUCGCAGAAGAAGCACCGGCUAACUCCGUGCCAGCAGCCGCGGUAAUACGGAGGGUGCAAGCGUUAAUCGGAAUUACUGGGCGUAAAGCGCACGCAGGCGGUUUGUUAAGUCAGAUGUGAAAUCCCCGGGCUCAACCUGGGAACUGCAUUUGAAACUGGCAAGCUAGAGUCUCGUAGAGGGGGGUAGAAUUCCAGGUGUAGCGGUGAAAUGCGUAGAGAUCUGGAGGAAUACCGGUGGCGAAGGCGGCCCCCCUGGACGAAGACUGACGCUCAGGUGCGAAAGCGUGGGGCAGCAAACAGGAUUAGAUACCCUGGUAGUCCACGCUGUAAACGAUGUCGAUUUGGAGGUUGUGCCCCUUGAGGCGUGGCUUCCGGAGCUAACGCGUUAAUCGACCGCCUGGGGAGUACGG
rnacentral:rRNA from 1 species